GUCUCUUUCAGUCUAAAGAAAACCUGCUUGUUUCUGGCAAGUGCCAGUGGGAAAUUUCAGAAUGGAGCAGGGUGUGCCCGGCAGCCUUCUGGAUCAGAGAGGUUUUGCCUGUGUUCAGAGGUGAAGGUGUUUCCCACACAGCUGAAGAGCGUCAAGCAGGCUUGACCCUGUGGCCAGGCUGACCCCUGCGCUCUCCUUGGUGUCGUCAGCCUGAGGAUCUGGAACAGCUCUGGCCCCGGGUCAGUGUGCUUGAGCAAAUGAGGGCGAGCCGUCAGCAUCUGCGUAGUUCCGAGGCCGAGCGCAAGGCAGCACAGCUCUGCCCGGCCUGGCGAGGGGCGACCCAGCCCGAUGGCGCAGCCCGUGCCGCCGAAACGCAGGACACGUGAAAUAUAUUCAGUCUGAGCAAGACGCAGGCUGCUCUGUGGAGACUCUGCUGCCAGCCCUCUCUUGAGACGGAGGUUGAGCAGGGCAACUGGGUAGAUGUGUGCCUCACCUGGACAGAAAAUGGGAGAUAAGCAGGUAACAGGACCCCGUGAAACCUGGGCACUCCCGGCCUCCUUGCCUUUGCUGGUGGGAUUCCUUCUUCCCAGAGUGCCCCUUGAAUCCUUCUGCGCCCUAAACCAACCUGGCAAAUUCUGCUCCAACGCUGGCUCUCCCAAAACGGCUUCCCAGAUGCCACCAGUCAGAAGUAACUUCUCCAGGCUCGUCUCAUCCAGCGUGCUCGUACUGUGCGACAGCACUUCUCACAAGGCCCCUCAGUGUUGCUGCCUCCCAGCCCUCCCGCGGGCGGCACCGCUUCCGUCAGCUUGCUCAAGCCUGAAGCCAAGUGUUGUUCCAGAGGCCUCGCUCUUCGUCACCCUCCCAAGUCGUCCAUUUUUGCCCGUCUCCAGUCCCCUCUUCAAGAGAUGUUUCUCAGAUGCAAACCUGCAUUGCCACUGUGAUGCCAGAAGCCUUUGGUGGCUCCCCUUAGGGAUCUGA
rnacentral:lncRNA from 1 species